UUAAGUUCAGCGGGUUUUCCUACCUGAUUUGAGACCAAGUGUUCAGGGAAGGUUCACAGAUGUCAACCCCCUCUGGUUAAUUGUUGGGUUACACAUUCCUAUACAACCGCCAAUUGAUAAGAACAAACGUACUUGUGAGUUGCCCCAUUCAUGCGUAUGUCCAAAAACUGUUGGUUCAAGGAAGCGUAACAUUCAAUUUC
rnacentral:misc_RNA from 1 species